rnacentral:rRNA from 1 species
UACGUAGGGUGCAAGCGUUGUCCGGAAUUAUUGGGCGUAAAGAGCUCGUAGGCGGUCUGUCGCGUCUGCUGUGAAAACUCGGGGCUUAACCCCGGGCCUGCAGUGGGUACGGGCAGACUAGAGUGCGGUAGGGGAGACUGGAAUUCCUGGUGUAGCGGUGAAAUGCGCAGAUAUCGAGGAGGAACACCGGUGGCGAAGGCGGGGUCUCUGGGCCGUAACUGACGCUGGAGGAGCGGAAAGCGUGGGGAGCGAACAGG